UACCAGCACCCCGAGUGGUCGGGACGUUUAUUGGGCCUAAAGCAUCCGUAGCCGGUUCUACAAGUCUUCCGUUAAAUCCACCUGCUUAACAGAUGGGCUGCGGAAGAUACUAUGGAGCUAGGAGGCGGGAGAGGCAAGCGGUACUCGAUGGGUAGGGGUAAAAUCGUUGAUCCAUUGAAGACCACCAGUGGCGAAGGCGGCUUGCCAGAACGCGCUCGACGGUGAGGGAUGAAAGCUGGGGGAGCAAACCGG
rnacentral:rRNA from 1 species